rnacentral:rRNA from 1 species
UACAGAGGUCUCAAGCGUUGUUCGGAUUCAUUGGGCGUAAAGGGUGCGUAGGCGGCGCGGUAAGUCGGGUGUGAAAUCUCGGAGCUUAACUCCGAAACUGCAUUCGAUACUGCCGUGCUUGAGGACUGGAGAGGAGACUGGAAUUUACGGUGUAGCGGUGAAAUGCGUAGAUAUCUGGAGGAACACCGGUGGCGAAGGCGGCAUCCUGGACCAUUACUGACACUGAAAAGCGAAAGCCAGGGGAGCAAACGGG